rnacentral:rRNA from 1 species
UACGUAGGGGGCAAGCGUUGUCCGGAAUCAUUGGGCGUAAAGAGCGUGUAGGCGGCCAGAAAAGUCCGCUGUGAAAACUCGAGGCUCAACUUCGAGCUGUCGGUGGAAACUUUCUGGCUAGAGUCCGGAAGAGGAGAAUGGAAUUCCUGGUGUAGCGGUGAAAUGCGCAGAUAUCAGGAGGAACACCAAUGGCGAAGGCAGCACUCUGGGACGUGACUGACGCUGAGACGCGAAAGCGUGGGGAGCAAACAGG